rnacentral:rRNA from 1 species
UACGUAGGGGGCUAGCGUUGUCCGGAAUCAUUGGGCGUAAAGAGCGCGUAGGCGGCCAGAUAAGUCCGGUGUGAAAGUCACAGGCUCAACCUGUGAAUGCCGCUGGAAACUGUCUGGCUUGAGUCCGGGAGGGCGAGUGGAAUUCCUGGUGUAGCGGUGAAAUGCGCAGAUAUCAGGAGGAACACCAAUGGCGAAGGCAGCUCGCUGGAACGGUACUGACGCUGAGCGCGAAGCGUGGGGGGAGCAAACAGG